rnacentral:misc_RNA from 1 species
AUGAAGAACGUAGCGAAAUGCGAUAAGUAAUGUGAAUUGCAGAAUUCAGUGAAUCAUCGAAUCUUUGAACGCACAUUGCGCCCUCUGGUAUUCCGGGGGGCAUGCCUGUUCGAGCGUCAUUAUAACCACUCAAGCUCUCGCUUGGUAUUGGAGUUCGCGAUCUCGCGGCUCCUAAAAUCAGUGGCGGUGCCUGUCGGCUCUACGCGUAGUAAUACUCCUCGCGAUUGAGUCCGGUAGGUUUACUUGCCAGCAACCCCCAAUUUUUACAGGUUGACCUCGGAUCAGGUAGGGAUACCCGCUGAACUUAAGCAUAUCAAUAAGCGGAGGA